rnacentral:tRNA from 1 species
GGGAGUGUAGCUCAGUGGGACAGCACUUGCCUAGCACGUGAGAGGCCUUGGGUUCAGUCCCCAGCACUGCCA